rnacentral:rRNA from 1 species
GACGAACGCUGGCGGCGUGCUUAACACAUGCAAGUCGAACGAUGAACCGGAGCUUGCUCCGGGGAUUAGUGGCGAACGGUGAGUAACACGUGGGCAACCUGCCCCAGACAUCGGGAUAACCAUUCGAAAGGAUGGCUAAUACCGGAUAUGACCACUUCGGGCAUCCGAUGGUGGUGGAAAGGAUUCUGGUCUGGGAUGGGCCCGCGGCCUAUCAGCUAGUUGGUGGGUAAUGGCCUACCAAGGCGACGACGGGUAGCCGGCCUGAGAGGGCGACCGGCCACACUGGGACUGAGACACGGCCCAGACUCCUACGGGAGGCAGCAGUGGGGAAUAUUGCGCAAUGGGCGAAAGCCUGACGCAGCGACGCCGCGUGAGGGACGAAGGUCUUCGGAUUGUAAACCUCUUUCAGCAGGGACGAAGCGAAAGUGACUGUACCUGCAGAAGAAGCACCGGCUAACUACGUGCCAGCAGCCG